rnacentral:pre_miRNA from 1 species
UGUAAACAUCCUACACUCAGCUGUAACUUCAAAGUAAAGGCUGGGAGAAGGGUGUUUACU